AGACAACUUCUUACUUUGUUGCCCAGGCUGAAGUGCAGUGAUGCGAUCACGGCUCACUGCAGCCUCGACCUCCCAGGCUCAAGCGAUCCUCCCACCUCAACAUCCCAAGUAGCUGGGACUCCAAACGCGUGCCACUAUGCCCGGCUAAGUUUUGUAUUUUUAGUAGAGAUGGAGUUUUGCCAUGUUGCCCCGGCUGGUCUCGGACUCCUGGGCUCAAGCAAUCUGCCUGCCUCUGUCUCCUGAAGUGUUGUGAUUACAGGCAUGAGCCACCGCACCUGGCCAAGAUGCUUUUUCUGUUUCUGAGAUACAAUGAACUAUAUCUUAAGAAUUCAUAAAGCCCUAAAAAGUAAAUAUUUACAACCAGAAAUCUUUCUGACAAAGAAACAAGAUUACUCAAAUGUUAUUAACUAAAUUCUAAAAGCUUCAUAUAAUCAUCUGAUACAUACAUCACAUCAAUUUCAGCCUAGGCUCUCUAUGGUGGCAAAUUAUUUCAGCACUAAAUCAUGAAGGCUGGAUUCUUGAAGCCUGGCAGAGGCAAAUGUCUCAUUAAUGCUGAUCUGAGAGACAUCUGUGAUGAGCCUGAACAUCAGGCCAAUCUGCAGAGCUGAUCAGGGGCUGCUGAGUGGUUCUGAAGUGAGUCAGGCUGUGAAUGAAGACUCCACCAGAAUGAGGAGAAUUCCAUGCAUGGAGAUUCAAAUAAAGACAAAAGGGAGAUGCAACUAUGGAGGCUGAGAAGUCCCACCAUCGGAGCGCCUCUGCCCCGCCGCCCCAUCUGGGAUGUGAGGAGCGCCUCUGCCCGGCCGAGACCCCGUCUGGGAGGUGAGGAGCGUCUCUGCCCGGCCGCCCCGUCUGAGAAGUGAGGAGACCCUCUGCCUGGCAACCACCCCGUCUGAGAAGUGAGGAGCCCCUCCGCCCGGCAGCUGCCCCGUCUGAGAAGUGAGGAGCCUCUCCGCCCGGCAGCCACCCCAUCUGGGAAGUGAGGAGCGUCUCCGCCCGGCAGCCACCCCGUCCGGGAGGGAGGUGGGGGGGGGUCAGCCCCCCGCCCGGCCAGCCGCCCCAUCCGGGAGGGAGGUGGGGGGUCAGCCCCCCCGCCCGGCCAGCCGUGCCAUCCGGGAGGGAGGUGGGGGGGUCAGCCCCCCGCCUGGCCAGCCGUGCCGUCCGGGAGGGAGGUGGGGGGGUCAGCCCCCCGUCCGGCCAGCCGCCCCGUCCGGGAGGUGAGGGGCGCCUCUGCCCGGCCGCCCCUACUGGGAAGUGAGGAGCCCCUCAGCCCGGCCAGCCACCCCGUCCGGGAGGGAGAUGGGGGGGUCAGCCCCCCCACCCGGCCAGCCGCCCCGUCCGGGAGGGAGGUAGGGGGGUCAGCCCCCCGCCUGGCCAGCCGCCCCGUCCGGGAGGGAGGUGGGGGGGUCAGCCCUCCGCCCGGCCAGCCGCCCCGUCUGGGAGGUGAGGGGCGCCUCUGCCCAGCCGCCCCUACUGGGAAGUGAGG
rnacentral:lncRNA from 10 species